AGGUGCGAUCAGACCAGCAUUAAUGCACCGGAUCCCAUCAGAACUCCGCAGUUAAGGGUGCUUGGGCGAGAGUAGUACAAGGAUGGGUGACCUCCUGGGAAGUCCUCGUGUUGCACCCC
rfam:Arabis alpina cultivar Pajares scaff_53573_1_contig_0, whole genome shotgun sequence.